rnacentral:ncRNA from 1 species
AAACCGGUUCUUUUAAGAACCACCAAAUCUAUAAAAGAAUCAAACG